rnacentral:misc_RNA from 1 species
CCAAUAGCGUAUAUUAAAGUUGUUGCAGUUAAAAAGCUCGUAGUUGAAUUUCGGGAUCAAUAUGUUUGGUCGUGCCUCGGUACGUACUAGCUUAUUGGUUUCUCCUUUCUGAAGAACCAUGAUGUCAUUCAUUUGGUGUUGUGGGGAAUCAGGACUGUUACUUUGAAAAAAUUAGAGUGUUUAAAGCAGGCUCACGCUUGAAUACAUUAGCAUGGAAUAAUGAAAUAGGACGUUUGAUUCUAUUUUGUUGGUUUCUAGGAUCGACGUAAUGAUUAAUAGGGAUAGUUGGGGGCAUUAGUAUUCAAUUGUCAGAGGUGAAAUUCUUGGAUUUAUUGAAGACUAACUACUGCGAAAGCAUUUGCCAAGGAUGUUUUCAUUAAUCAAGAACGAAAGUUAGGGGAUCGAAGACGAUCAGAUACCGUCGUAGUCUUAACCAUAAACUAUGCCGACUAGGGAUCGGAUGAUGUUAAUUUUUUAAUGACUCAUUCGGCGCCUUACG